rnacentral:rRNA from 1 species
UACGUAGGGGGCAAGCGUUGUCCGGAUUUAUUGGGCGUAAAGAGCGUGUAGGCGGCCAGAUAGGUCUGUUGUGAAAACUCGAGGCUCAACCUCGAGACGCCGAUGGAAACCAUUUGGCUAGAGUCCGGAAGAGGAGAGUGGAAUUCCUGGUGUGAGCGGUGAAAUGCGCAGAUAUCAGGAAGAACACCCGUGGCUAAGGCGGCUCUCUAGUACGGUACUGACGCUGAGACGCGAAAGCGUGGGGAGCGAACAGG